UACAGAGGUCUCAAGCGUUGUUCGGAUUCAUUGGGCGUAAAGGGUGUGUAGGUGGCGCGCUAAGUCGGGUGUGAAAUUUCGGAGCUUAACUCCGAAACUGCAUUCGAUACUGGCGUGCUUGAGGACUGGAGAGGAGACUGGAAUUCCCGGCGUAGCGGUGAAAUGCGUAGAUAUCGUAAGGAAGACCAGUGGCGAAGGCGGGUCUCUGGACAGUUCCUGACGCUGAGGCACGAAGGUCAGGGGAGCAAACGGG
rnacentral:rRNA from 1 species